rnacentral:rRNA from 1 species
GAUGAACGCUGGCGGCGUGCCUAAUACAUGCAAGUCGAGCGAACGGACGAGAAGCUUGCUUCUCUGAUGUUAGCGGCGGACGGGUGAGUAACACGUGGAUAACCUACCUAUAAGACUGGGAUAACUUCGGGGAACCGGAGCUAAUACCGGAUAAUAUUUUGAACCGCAUGGUUCAAAAGUGAAAGACGGUCUUGCCGUCACUUAUAGAUGGAUCCGCGCUGCAUUAGCUAGUUGGUAAGGUAACGGCUUACCAAGGCAACGAUGCAUAGCCGACCUGAGAGGGUGAUCGGCCACACUGGAACUGAGACACGGUCCAGACUCCUACGGGAGGCAGCAGUAGGGAAUCUUCCGCAAUGGGCGAAAGCCUGACGGAGCAACGCCGCGUGAGUGAUGAAGGUCUUCGGAUCGUAAAACUCUGUUAUUAGGGAAGAACAUAUGUGUAAGUAACUGUGCACAUCUUGACGGUACCUAAUCAGAAAGCCACGGCUAACUACGUG